GCAGCCGCGGUAAUACGUAGGUGGCAAGCGUUAUCCGGAUUUACUGGGUGUAAAGGGCGUGUAGGCGGGACUGCAAGUCAGAUGUGAAAACCAUGGGCUCAACCUGUGGCCUGCAUUUGAAACUGUAGUUCUUGAGUACUGGAGAGGCAGAUGGAAUUCCUAGUGUAGCGGUGAAAUGCGUAGAUAUUAGGAGGAACACCAGUGGCGAAGGCGAUCUGCUGGACAGCAACUGACGCUGAGGCGCGAAAGCGUGGGGAGCAAACAGGAUUAGAUACCCC
rnacentral:rRNA from 1 species